UACUGAUCAACCUACGGGCACGCAACGGUGCCCUGUCUUUGUACAUAUUUCCAUUACGUGCUAAUAUGUUGUCAUUUACGAGUUCCAUAGAGGCCGAUGUACGUAGUACGCAGUAGAGGAGGAUUUGAGACGAGACUCAGUUCAUAACCCCAUCCUCUGGUUGUUAUACCAGUACAUGAUUCUUGGAGUGUAUUUGUACCGGUAUGAUUGGAGCAACAUAGGUGGAUGUUAACGUCGGUACGAAGACUUACCUCACAUCAUCCCGUUCUUGUAGUACAGUUACAGGCUGAGCUGGCCGUGCUGGAACCACAGGGACUUUACAACUAUUGUGUUGUUUCCUUAACCCUCCCUCUAUCUACAGUGCGAGUCUCGCUGGAACGCCUCCUCUAGCCCCGGCUCGACGGACGUCCCUCAUGCUGCCACCAUCCCCACCCCGAACUUCUACUCUUCCAGCUGUCGUCUCCCGCCGUUAACUUACCCGGCAAGAGGUAUCGGUGGGCGGAUGUGCUCGGAGCGCACGGAGGACGAGCGUGCGUGUCGUCACAUCGGAGGUCGAGCACGGACGUGUGGGCGAACGAGAUGACAAAUUGACGAGAUCUUCCCGCCGCGGUGGUGUUACUUCUGCUGCCACCGCAAUCCUCGCCCUCUUCUCGCAGCCUACCUCCCAGUAGCUCGUUUUCUCUCAGCCCCACCGCGCCGCAGCACAUGUUGGUCCUGGCGUCGGUCGUGUUGGUGCUACACUUGCUCCUCCCGUUGCUACCACCCUCCGUACCCAACCGGUGCGUUCCGAGGACCGCCGACUAGCUCUAGACGUCGCCGCUCACCGGUGCGUUUCGAGACCGCCGCCUAGCCCUAGACCCUACCGCUUCUACCGCACGUGCUGCUAAAAAGGUCCCUCUCCUACACUAGCCCUCUGCUCCCGUACCUUGAGGAGGGCGCUGGUGCAGGAGCCCGUCAAACCGGUGGCGGGUGGAGAAGGGGGUGUAGGAGGGGCCGUCUGGGGGUGCAGGAGGGCGGGGCAAGGAGGGCGUGGACAAGCGGCGGGAAGCGGGGUGGUGGGGGAGGAUGACCUCGGCGGGGGGCGACCUAGGCGGGAAGCGGCGUGGGGCAACCUCGGCGGGGGAUGGCGCGACCUAGGCGGGAAGCGGGGGGGAGAGGGGGUGCGGCGACCUCGGCGGCAGACUCGACGGGAAACGGCGUCCGGCGGCGGCACGGCGAGCGGCAACAAGGAGAAGACGAAGUGUACUCUGAUGACGGUGCCGGACCCUUACCGUUGACUCAGCAGCCGCCACCGGCUGUACGCCUUCCGCGGGAGGUAACUCACCGCCACCCACAGGCACCCCUCCUCCUCCUGCUGUUCGACCUCCCGAGCGCUGGCAGCCCCGCCGCCCUUCCCCGACGUGGAAGCUCAAGCUCCUGCUCCUCCUGUUGCAGCUGAUGCUCCUGCUCCUGCUCUUCGUGGCCUUCCGGUCCUUUGAGGACAGUGCGUGCCGGUGGCGGUUUGACGGAGCGCCGGUCGGGGCAGGCGACCACCGCUAGAAACACGGAGGUUGGCUACCGCUACUGGUACGGAAAAAGUACCCCCGUGGACGUAAUAAGCCAUAAAACCAUGUUGAAUUCAUAUCCUAUACGUGGAAGGUAAACAGAUACGUAUUAAAAAGACGAGUACGUACCACGUUACUGUGGCACCGUCGGUACCUCUUAUAUACGUACUUCGGCCUCUCCGCAAAAUCGAGGGCCUCCCACAAAGUCGCCACACGAGCUCCUGCUCGCAACUGUCGCGCCCACAGGCUAAAGGUCGCCGCGUCUGUACCGCUACCUAAAGGGUAGAGAGGCCAUCUGUCCAACGGGUAGAAGGACCUACUCCGCCGAUCGCGCCACCGGGAUUACCUAAACUAACCACCGCUUCUCCUUAGGCGGUUACCUAGAACACCCCGACAACAGCGGCCUAAACGCGUACUGAGUAGACCCGUCAAGCAUGCACCACAACACACGUCGUUCCUCUCCUGACAUCGAUGGCCACCACGGCGGUACAGGCCAAAGUACCACUACCUCCCAGACGAGUUAGAUGAUGAACGUUCCACCUAGGCGUUCGGGGACCCACCUGAAUCUCAUUCUCAGCCCUUAGUCGGUUACCUAUCUCGGGGUACGGGUCUUUCUAAUCUGCGCGACCUCCUCUGUUAAGCUCCCGUACGUCUAUUUAACCCUCUGGUACAUCAACUCGGACGAUAACCGAAUUGUAAGUUGAGGAACCCACUUCGUAUACUAAAAACGUUGGAAAUAAGCACCCUCGUACCAAAACCAUAGUCAUUUCUCAGUAGGUAGCCCGUACUUCGUCAUCUUGGUAACUGACUUCUAAGGAAUCAAAUGUGUGCUACAGACUGCUUCACACAGUGACGAGUACCUUAAAAGUCUCAAUCUCUGUGGGACAGGGUCGCCCGAGCCGUGUGAGAGGCGAGGCGACUUUAAUGUCCUGUGGGACAGGGUCGUCCGAGCUGUGAGAGGCGAGGCGACUUUAAUGUCCUGGCCUGUGAUACAGACCCUUCUUAAACACGUGACCUCGUUUACUAAAUC
rnacentral:rRNA from 1 species